rnacentral:ncRNA from 2 species
CGAGGCCACUCUGGAAAGCAGGCUCGAAGCCUCACCCAAGGUGAAAGCCGUGCACGCACGGUGAAACUCUCAGGUGCCAUGACAGAGGGGGAGUU